CAUGGGAUAUGCUCUUAUCAAUCUUAUUAUUCAACUUUUCUAGACUUGCUUGUUUUUCCUCUUCCAUGUAGAACUGUUGAUGAACUAGAAACCCACUAAGUUGUAAUUUAGAAAAAAAGUCUUGUCCAAACAUUUUUUUUGUCUGGACCAAACAUGGCCUAGCUCCUAUCAUCAUUUGAGUCACAAUGUGUUUGGAUGUUCCGAUGCAAUGGACAAGCAGUAACUAACUAUCAUAGCUGCCUCGUGUUAGCUAGCUACAUGCAUCCUGCAACGGACUUGAUGCUCCGCGUGCAGUAAGAAGCGCUCCAACGCAUAUAUUGACUGAAUCGUGUUUGUGGUCAGUCGAUUGACCGAUAAAUUACUUUCAGUCGACUGACAUGUAGCCAGUCCCAUGAGAAAU
rnacentral:lncRNA from 1 species